rnacentral:rRNA from 1 species
AUAUCAAUAAGCGGAGGAAAAGAAACCAACAGGGAUUGCCCCAGUAACGGCGAGUGAAGCGGCAACAGCUCAAAUUUGAAAUCUGGCCUCACGGCCCGAGUUGUAAUUUGCAGAGGAUGCUUUUGGCGCGGCGCCUUCCGAGUGCCCUGGAACGGGACGCCAUAGAGGGUGAGAGCCCCGUCUGGUUGGAUGCCUAGCCUCUGUAAAGCUCCUUCGACGAGUCGAGUAGUUUGGGAAUGCUGCUCAAAAUGGGAGGUAUAUGUCUUCUAAAGCUAAAUAUUGGCCAGAGACCGAUAGCGCACAAGUAGAGUGAUCGAAAGAUGAAAAGCACUUUGAAAAGAGGGUUAAAUAGUACGUGAAAUUGUUGAAAGGGAAGCGCUUGCAACCAGACUUGCGCGCUGAUGAUCAUCCGGGCUUCUGCCCGGUGCACUCGUCUGCGCUCAGGCCAGCAUCGGUUUCGGUGGUGGGAUAAAGGCCUUGGGAAUGUGGCUCCUCUCGGGGAGUGUUAUAGCCCUCGGUGCAAUGCCGCCAACCGGGACCGAGGACCGCGCUUCGGCUAGGAUGCUGGCGUAAUGGUUGUAAGCGA